rnacentral:tRNA from 2 species
CUGGGUAUGGCGCAGCUUGGUAGCGCGCUUGAAUGGGGUUCAAGAGGCCGGAGGUUCAAAUCCUCUUACCCAGACCA